rnacentral:misc_RNA from 1 species
UGACAGUCUUCAUGUUUGCCUUAGCCAUUCCAUACCAUCACUGGACUCUCAAGGAUCACAGAAUUGGCUUCGUGGUCAUGUACUCAUUCACCUUUUUCUUCGCCAAUUUUGGUCCAAACGCCACAACAUUCGUCGUCCCUGCUGAGAUUUUCCCAGCCAGGCUUAGGUCCACAUGCCAUGGAAUAUCAGCAGCAGCAGGUAAAGCAGGAGCUAUGGUUGGUGCAUUUGGAUUCUUAUACGCUGCUCAGCCCACGGAUCCAACAAAGACUGACGCCGGUUACCCUCCUGGCAUUGGUGUGAGGAACUCGUUGAUCGUCCUUGGUUGUGUUAACUUCCUCGGUAUGCUGUUCACAUUCUUGGUUCCAGAAUCCAAUGGGAAGUCAUUGGAAGAUUUGUCGAGGGAAAACGAAGGGGAAGAGGAAACUGUAGCUGAAAUAAGAGCAACAAGUGGAAGGACAGUUCCUGUGUGAGUUUUAGACAAGUUAUCAGUUAGUAUACACUACAAUGCAGUUUGAGUUAAUUUGUGGUAUUUGGGAUUAGAAAGAGAUUGUUUGUUGGUUUGUUAUAAGAAGAUGGAAUAAGCUCUUAUCUUUUUGUUUGUUUGUUUGGGUA